rnacentral:rRNA from 1 species
CAGUAGCCACGGGAAUACGUAGGGCGCAAGCGUUAUCCGGAAUUAUUGGGCGUAAAGAGCUCGUAGGCGGUUUGUCGCGUCUGCCGUGAAAGUCCGGGGCUCAACCCCGGAUCUGCGAUGGGUACGGGCAGACUAGAGUGAUGUAGGGGAGACUGGAAUUCCUGGUGUAGCGGUGAAAUGCGCAGAUAUCAGGAGGAACACCGAUGGCGAAGGCAGGUCUCUGGGCAUUAACUGACGCUGAGGAGCGAAAGCGUGGGGAGCAAACAGGAUUAGAUACCCCGGUAGUCCCUGUCUCUUAUAC